rnacentral:rRNA from 1 species
UACGUAGGGUCCGAGCGUUGUCCGGAAUUAUUGGGCGUAAAGAGCUCGUAGGCGGUCUGUCGCGUCGGCUGUGAAAACCUGGGGCUCAACUCCAGGCCUGCAGUCGAUACGGGCAGACUAGAGUUCGGUAGGGGAGACUGGAAUUCCUGGUGUAGCGGUGAAAUGCGUAGAUAUCUGGAGGAACACCGGUGGCGAAGGCGACAUCCUGGACCGGUAUUGACGCUGAGGCGCGAAAGCCAGGGGAGCAAACGGG